rnacentral:rRNA from 1 species
CCUACGGGAGGCAGCAGUAAGGAAUAUUGGACAAUGGAGGCAACUCUGAUCCAGCCAUGCCGCGUGCAGGAAGAAGGCGCUACGCGUUGUAAACUGCUUUUGUACCAGAGAAAAUCAUUGUACGUGUACGAUGUUGAUAGUACGGUAAGAAUAAGCAUCGGCUAACUUCGUGCCAGCAGCCGCGGUAAUACGAAGGAUGCAAGCGUUAUCCGGAUUUAUUGGGUUUAAAGGGAGCGUAGGCGGUCUUAUAAGUCAGUGGUGAAAUCUCGUUGCUUAACAACGAACGUGCCAUUGAUACUGUAGGACUUGAGUACAGUUGCCGUUGGCGGAAUGUGUCAUGUAGCGGUGAAAUGCAUAGAUAUGACACAGAACACCGAUUGCGAAGGCAGCUGACGAAACUGUAACUGACGCUGAGGCUCGAAAGCGUGGGGAUCAAACAGGAUUAGAUACCCUGGUAGUCCACGCCCUAAACUAUGAUUACUCGCUGUCGGCGAUAUACUGUCGGUAGUCGUAGACGAAAGACGUUAAGUUAAGUACCGACCGUACGGGUAGGUACGCCCGCCGACGGUAGGAAACGUACGAAGUAGUAAGUUAGUUACGGCGUUGGAGGACGACGACCGGACGGACGACGACGGAGGGAGGUUAGG